rnacentral:rRNA from 1 species
UACGUAGGGGGCAAGCGUUGUCCGGAAUCAUUGGGCGUAAAGCGCGUGUAGGCGGCUCGAUAAGUCCGUUCUGAAAGUCCAGGGCUCAACCCUGGGAUGCGGAUGGAUACUGUCGAGCUCGAGUCCGGAAGAGGCGAGUGGAAUUCCUGGUGUAGCGGUGAAAUGCGCAGAUAUCAGGAGGAACACCAAUUGCGAAGGCAGCUCGCUGGGACGUAACUGACGCUGAGACGCGAAAGCGUGGGGAGCAAACAGG